GGGGGCGUACUGGUUUCGACGGAAGUAAUGAGGCACAAGUUGCACGCCGAGGUCCCACCCACCUCGUUAAACGGUGGAAAAACUUUAACUGCAGAACCUUUAGCAGUCGCGGCCUAAUAGAAAGGCACGCCGUUCCUGGGGUCCUCUCCCGCGGGGCUUCCGGAGCGUCAAACGUGCGGGAUAGCGAGCCGGUUUCGCCCUGAGGCCGGGAAGCAAAACACCUUCGGGGCUGGUUGCCCGGCGCUCUUCCUCUUCGAGCGACGGGCGACGAGAACAAUGAAGGGGAUAAGCGUGUAGAGACUUGCUGUUGAAUGCUUUCGGACGCGGGUUCGAUUCCCGCCGCCUCCACCA
rnacentral:tmRNA from 1 species